UUCAAAAGCCACAAUGUCUUGCCACCACUUCCUCACCCAAAAAGCCAAACCCACUGAAGUGGAAGGUGGGAGGCAGUGCUUGUUUAGCUUGGCUUCUGUUCCAAUUUGAAGCUCAGCUCUAAAACAGACAAACAGCAAAAUCCCUUCAGUUUCUUCCCUAUUUGUAAAACAGAAAACAAAACCCCACUUGCAACGCAGCCAACCUGUCAUCUUCUCAGAAAGCUGAGGCUAGAAACUCUGACCGCUGAAACUUUACUGAGGUCUGUAAGAGCCAGGAACUAGGGAGGGUGCUUACCUGACUCCUUGUGUCACUCUGGGGCAGUAGUGAAGGCAGGAGCUUUCUAACAACUAUGUCACUUGGUCCUAAAGUAAAAACAAAGCCCACAUUUCUCCAUCCAUUCCUCAGAUAUCCUGACAAAAUAUUCUGCCUGAUUCCUAAAGGCUGAUUUGAGGAAAUGGCCUCCUGAUAGUCCUUAGAUUGUUGAAGGUGGAGUGUUGCCAUGGUAAUGGAGCUUUCUUUGUGUGGUAAGUGCUUGGUGGACAUUCUAUACUAAGAACCUUCUUCUGGACUUGGCCCUGACUGAGAAAACAGCCGAAAACAAUUGUGCUGGCUUGUUUUAUGUCAAUCUGACAUAAGAUAGAGUCAUCAGAAUGGAAGGAACCUCGAUGGAUAAAAUACCUCCAUAGAUCAGCUGUGGGCAUUGAUAGGGGAGAGCCCAGCCCAUUGUGGGUGGAGCUGUCCCUGGACUCGUAGUCCUGGGAUCUAGAAGAAAGCAAGCUGAGCAAGCCAUGGGGAGCAAGUCAGUAAGCAGCACCCCUCCAUGGACUUUGCAUCAGCUCCUGCCUCCAAGUUCCUUGCCCUGUUUAAAUUCCUGUCCUGACUUCCCUCAAUAAUGAAUAGUGAUGUGGAAGCAUAAACUAAAUAAACCCUUUCCUUUUCAAUUUGCUUUUAGUCAUGGGUUUCUCAUUGCUAGGACAAUGAUGUACCAAGAUCCAGAUUUAGUUCCUUUACGGAACAGUUCUCAGAAUUCCGCUAAUCUUGGAACCCCUGUAGACAAAGAGGGAGCAGGCACCAGAAACGAAAAGCAAGCACUGAAGUCAAGAGUCUCCAAGGAUCUCAACAACCCCAUGCCUCAGACAAAGCAUGAGACAACCCACGAGCCACAAGUCAAAGUCCUCACCCACAAGCCUCGCUGCUGUUACCUUAAAAUCCAGAAAAGUCAGCACGAUCUAAUCCUCAAAAUGGAAAUCAGACCCGUAUCCCACACAACUGAUGUCCAGCGAACUCUUGAAGAACAAUCUGUCCUUUUCUUGGGAACUCUCUCACAUGUUUUGUGGGAGGUAAGGACUCUAACAAGCAACAUUGUAGCCAUGAGAUGUAAGCCUGAGAAGACAUGGUCCUUGCAAUCCAACAAGGUCCAACAGACACACUGUGAAAGAUCUUGCUCCUUAGAGACAAGUGCAAACCUUACAGAAAUUACUACUCUCCUGAAAUGACAAUCUGCUGGUCUGAAACAAGGGGAAAAGGUCCAAGGAUGCGUAUUGUCAUAAACAACCAUACAAAAUUACUUUUUUUAGCUACUUUAAGGCAGAUAAAUAUAAUGUAGCACAGCUAAUUUCUCUGUGGAUUUAGACCUUUACUUUUCUCUAGGAUUCUACCUACAAUUAAUGAUUUUUCUACAAUACUUUAAAAUGGAAAUGAAGUGGGAAUAAAAACAUAUUCACUAACUCUCUGUAAGAGAAAGUAUCUAGCAAGAUUCAGCAUCCCAUAACAGAAUAAGCAGAGUAGCAAAGCUGCUUGGAAGAGAAGCAAUGUAGUAGGAGACUGUUAGGGCUCAUGUCCCUCUGAGGAAUUCAAAGAGCAAAGCACUGUGUUCCAAUGAUACCAAGUGACGGACGCUUCAGUCCCAGGAACUACUAGAACCUUCUGGUGCCGCUUUGGCUGACGUGGACAAAGAAAGAGUUGUGGAACUCACUCUCUGGGUCUUCUGGGGGAACAUCGUUACAAGAGUCUGUGUCCGAGUAGGUUCUGCGGCGUCGCUGAGGAAGUCGGUGAAGGGCAGAUGCUGGUUCUUUGAUGGAGCAGCUACUCCUGCACAUCAAGUAAAAAGUGUUAAGCUGUGAGGCACUAAACCAUAAAAAGACCAUUUCCUCACU